AAAAUAUAAAAGACGGUGCAGUAUCCUAGUUUGAGAGAAACCGUUUGAGGACGGGCCUAAAAAUCCGUCAAAGGGCAUAUCGAUGAAGCUCCUUGUGCCUGCUUCUUACGCCCAGUUUGGGGUGGGUGCUGGGAGAUAGGUCUGAGGGCGUGCCGUAACGGCAUACGGUUACGACCCUCUUACCGUGGAGGCCUUUGCUUGUGGUAUUGACGUACCAGCGAAGACAUAUUACGGGCAGAGGAUUAAACCUAUCGCGCGGGGCGUUUGUCGCUGUGGAUAGUGUAGCCUGCCUUGAGUGGUUCCGGCGAAUUCGGGAUCAAAGCGGCGGUGCCUUGGCCGGGCGCCGUAAGCUAUCGCCUGAUGAAACCGUCGCUGCAAAAGAGGCUAAAACGGUCAUCCUCUUGAUCGGGGAAAUCCCCUAGGCUGUUUAUAAUAUUGUAAGGCAGACUGCGGAUUGCAGUGCGGGAGUCACAAGGCAAUCGAGUCUCCGCUGCGGCGACGCGCGGGCUUCUCCCGUAAAGGGAAACCGCCGAUCGGUAACGAGAGGUGGGAGAUGCGGAAAUCGUACUCGACCUAAUACCGCAAGGUUUACGCAGUCUGUUACCGUCCCUGAUA
rnacentral:sRNA from 1 species